AGUUUGUAGUCCUCGGCUCAGGAUGAACGCGUAGCGGCAGGCCUAACACAUGCAAGUCGAGGGGUAGAAAGAGCUUGCUUUUUGUAGACCGGCGCACGGGUGAGUAACGCGUAUGCAACCUACCUUAUACAGGGGAAUAGCCCGAAGAAAUUCGGAUUAAUGCUCCAUGGUUUAUCGAUAUGGCAUCGUAUUGAUAAUAAAGAUUUAUCGGUAUAAGAUGGGCAUGCGUAUCAUUAGCUAGUUGGUGUGGUAACGGCAUACCAAGGCAACGAUGAUUAGGGGUCCUGAGAGGGAGAUCCCCCACACUGGUACUGAGACACGGACCAGACUCCUACGGGAGGCAGCAGUGAGGAAUAUUGGUCAAUGGAGGCAACUCUGAACCAGCCAUGCCGCGUGCAGGAUGACGGUCCUAUGGAUUGUAAACUGCUUUUGUACAGGAAGAAACCCCCCUACGAGUAGGGACUUGACGGUACUGUAAGAAUAAGGAUCGGCUAACUCCGUG
rnacentral:rRNA from 1 species